AGAGUUUGAUCAUGGCUCAGAUUGAACGCUGGCGGCAGGCUUAACACAUGCAAGUCGAGCGGAGAUGAGGUGCUUGCACCUUAUCUUAGCGGCGGACGGGUGAGUAAUGCUUAGGAAUCUGCCUAUUAGUGGGGGACAACAUUCCGAAAGGAAUGCUAAUACCGCAUACGUCCUACGGGAGAAAGCAGGGGAUCUUCGGACCUUGCGCUAAUAGAUGAGCCUAAGUCGGAUUAGCUAGUUGGUGGGGUAAAGGCCUACCAAGGCGACGAUCUGUAGCGGGUCUGAGAGGAUGAUCCGCCACACUGGGACUGAGACACGGCCCAGACUCCUACGGGAGGCAGCAGUGGGGAAUAUUGGACAAUGGGGGGAACCCUGAUCCAGCCAUGCCGCGUGUGUGAAGAAGGCCUUAUGGUUGUAAAGCACUUUAAGCGAGGAGGAGGCUACUGAGACUAAUACUCUUGGAUAGUGGACGUUACUCGCAGAAUAAGCACCGGCUAACUCUGUGCCAGCAGCCGCGGUAAUACAGAGGGUGCGAGCGUUAAUCGGAUUUACUGGGCGUAAAGCGUGCGUAGGCGGCUUUUUAAGUCGGAUGUGAAAUCCCCGAGCUUAACUUGGGAAUUGCAUUCGAUACUGGGAAGCUAGAGUAUGGGAGAGGAUGGUAGAAUUCCAGGUGUAGCGGUGAAAUGCGUAGAGAUCUGGAGGAAUACCGAUGGCGAAGGCAGCCAUCUGGCCUAAUACUGACGCUGAGGUACGAAAGCAUGGGGAGCAAACAGGAUUAGAUACCCUGGUAGUCCAUGCCGUAAACGAUGUCUACUAGCCGUUGGGGCCUUUGAGGCUUUAGUGGCGCAGCUAACGCGAUAAGUAGACCGCCUGGGGAGUACGGUCGCAAGACUAAAACUCAAAGGAAUUGACGG
rnacentral:rRNA from 1 species